AGCUAAGGUAUGGUCUCGCCGG
rnacentral:sRNA from 1 species